UACGAAGGGGGCUAGCGUUGUUCGGAAUCACUGGGCGUAAAGGGCGCGUAGGCGGCUUGAUAAGUCGGGGGUGAAAGCCUGUGGCUCAACCACAGAAUUGCCUUCGAUACUGUCUGGCUAGAGACCGGAAGAGGUAAGUGGAACUGCGAGUGUAGAGGUGAAAUUCGUAGAUAUUCGCAAGAACACCAGUGGCGAAGGCGGCUUACUGGUCCGGUUCUGACGCUGAGGCACGAAAGCGUGGGGAGCAAACAGG
rnacentral:rRNA from 1 species